rnacentral:rRNA from 1 species
UAGGGAAUCUUCGGCAAUGGACGAAAGUCUGACCGAGCAACGCCGCGUGAGUGAAGAAGGUUUUCGGAUCGUAAAACUCUGUUGUUAGAGAAGAACAAGGACGUUAGUAACUGAACGUCCCCUGACGGUAUCUAACCAGAAAGCCACGGCUAACUACGUGCCAGCAGCCGCGGUAAUACGUAGGUGGCAAGCGUUGUCCGGAUUUAUUGGGCGUAAAGCGAGCGCAGGCGGUUUCUUUAGUCUGAUGUGAAAGCCCCCGGCUCAACCGGGGAGGGUCAUUGGAAACUGGGAGUCUUGAGUGCAGAAGGGGGGAGUGGAAUUCCAUGUGUAGCGGUGAAAUGCGUAGAUAUAUGGGGGAACACCAGUGGCGAAGGCGGCUCUCUGGUCUGUAACUGACGCUGAGGCUCGAAAGCGUGGGGAGCAAACAGG